UGGCAGUGUGGUUAGCUGGUUGUAAGUACCACACAACCACUACCUGCACUGCCUCA
rnacentral:pre_miRNA from 1 species